rnacentral:rRNA from 1 species
AACGUAGGAGACAAACGUUAUCCGGAUUUACUGGGCGUAAAGGGCGUGUAGGUGGUUUCGUAAGUCUGGCGUGAAAUUUUUCGGCUUAACCGGGAAAGGUCGUCGGAUACUGCGGAACUAGAGGACGGUAGAGGCGUGUGGAAUUCCGGGUGUAGUGGUGAAAUGCGUAGAGAUCCGGAGGAACACCAGUGGCGAAGGCGGUCUCCUGGAGCAGACUUGACGCUGAGGCGCGAAAGCUGGGGGAGCAAACGGG